UAUUCCGAUCCCUCGAGGCCCACCGAUACAUACUUACCUCCUACUCGAAUCGCGAAAAGAAUCGAUUAAUAAAAUCUGUAUCGACAACCAGGGGGCACUAAAGUAGUCAGGUUUGACGCUUAACAACAGUGACUCAUAUUGUUGACAUAUCGACGUCAUUUAGAACGAAACAAAUGUUUCAAGAGCGAGAAACAAAAGUUUAGAAGAACCAAAAAUAAAUUAUCGAAGGUUCCAGAAUGUUUACCAUGUAAGCAGAAAUUCUACGAAUUCUACAGGAUGCGUCACGAGACGGUCGCAGAGCGGAAGUGGAACACCUUCCGACCGAUAUACGCAACAACGUCGAUGUGGGUGGCGAUGAGGAUGUAGGUUGGGAUACAGACGAUGCUACGGGGAGUAGGCAAUAGCAUGGGGAUAGGCCGUAAUUGGUAUAAAAUCAUCGAGCAAACACAUCGGACAAGACAGCCUGAGGGUUGUGGGCGGCGUUACGUGCCGUCGCCUUGGUAACCGUGGGGCGAUUCUGCUAAAGCACCCCUUCGCCUUGAUUGCGCACAGGCCCAACCGCCCCCCGUAUACGUCGAGCAAGAAACUCCGAUUUUCAGGAUCAUGUAGCCGACGUCGAUCACGCGUCUCUCGAUUCUCGUCAAAUUAAGGCGCCUUCGACCUUCCUUCCUCUGAUCGUCGGCUUAAUCGCGGUCAGCGUCAGGACGUCGCCGUCGGGAAUGGGUCGCGUCCGCGACGGGUGAUCGCGCAAUUUCACAGGAUCGUGACUGCGUCAGAUUCGCUGGCCGAAGAAUUUAACGAGGCGCACGCGGCUCGCCCUCCUUCGGUGCUAUCGUCCUUCCAAUCGCACACGUUCGAUAAUAGCGGCCCUUGUAAACGCGAACACCCUUAAUCACUGUGUCCUUGUUACACGUUACACCAAUCUCACGGCUGAUGUAUAUUCAUGGACCUGUCCACGCAUGUCGAACCAGAAUCGUGUAAAUGCCACCGAUCGCUCACCUGACCUGCUCGAACACCCGAUACGAUCAUUUUCAUGGAAGGGUGGAUUUCGUGUAACGUACGAUGACGCGCAGGUUGUUGAUUGAUAUCUGCGAUGCAAUCGCUUGGUUACGAGAUACAUCGGUGUUUAUAAGUAUCACGAUACCUACCCGUUACAUUCAUUGGAAAAGACCAACAACUUUUACUUUGGUCAAUCCUGUUGUUUUGUUUGCAUCUACGAUCUAUGUGACAUGCAGUGGAUGUUACGUUUCGAUUGAUACGUAGAUUCGUAACAAAAUAAUUAGUAUCUAAGAACAGAGAAAAGUAUUCAAUUUAUAUGAAGUAUCAACAGAUGUUCCAAUAUGUGUAGAUUUAGAGUUGUCGAAAGUUGCGUAAAUUGACACUGUGAGGUUUCGUCAUUGGAUUCUCCCGAGUUAAUUAUAAUCUUAUUAGAAACGUAAUAUUUUCAGUCGAUUAAUUGUUUAAUUUGUCGAUGCUUCCUUCGGGCAAAGAUAAAUGUCUCGAUAUUUUGCUUGAAACUUUUUGCAUCCACGGUCCUUGCAGAAUUGAAGUUUCGAAUACGCUUCGAUAGAGGCUUCUUAAUUUCUCCAGUUCUCACAGUGCCAAGUCGACUUUCGAAUCGCACGAACACAGUGCGAUUCUGUUCUCGAAUAGAAAAAUUAGUGACUCCUCCCGUGAAACCUGUCUUUUUAGACUCUAAUAGCGGAGCCGAGACUGACGGCGAUUAUAAAGAGGCACGUGCCUCCCUUCAUGAGCGACCCCAUGCAGGCAAGCACGCGACCACCGAAAGCUAACCCAAGAAUCGUACAUGGCACAAUUAAUUUAUUGUUCGUGCCGGUGCAGUGACAAUCGGGCGAACGCCAGAGAAAAACAGGAUCGUUGUUUUCUUCUAUUUCAUUCGGGGGGAUCCGGGAACGGAUGCCGCCAGCCGAUCCUUCGCCUUUGUCGUGGGAUAAUCAACGACCUCUUCAGAAUGCCGAGUUUUCCUCGAUGGUAUAAAUUGUACGAUUUCAUAAAAAGUUGUAUAAAAUUAUAAAAUGUUUAACUUUGGUUAAAAAAUUCUCGCAACGUUCUUCGUAAAAGAACGUAAAAGAACGUUCAACGUUCUUUUUAAAGACUUUCUCUUAUAGUUUCAUAUUUGUAUUGCCGCAGUUGCUUACAAUAUAAUAUUAGCUUUCACGACAAGAAGGACAGCACAGCAAGGAGGCAAGAAAAAAGCAAAGUAGCAAUAAUGUUUAGUCAUAAGUUGCAAUAGUUUGCAGUCAUUAGUUUUAGACGCUAGAGGUAAGAAUAUGCUAAUGAGUGCAAUACGAUAAAUGUAAGAAUUGUAAUCCGAAAGUUCGUCCAAAGCCGAAAGCCACGGACUAAAAUAAAUAAUAAUAAUAAUAAUAAUAAUAA